UACGGGGGGGGCAAGCGUUGUUCGGAAUUACUGGGCGUAAAGGGCUCGUAGGCGGCCAACUAAGUCGGAUGUGAAAUCCCCAGGCUCAACCUGGGAACUGCAUCCGAUACUGGAUGGCUUGAAUUCGGGAGAGGGAUGCAGAAUUCCAGGUGUAGCGGUGAAAUGCGUAGAUAUCUGGAGGAAUACCGGUGGCGAAGGCGGCAUCCUGGACCGGCAUUGACGCUGAGGCGCGAAAGCCAGGGGAGCAAACGGG
rnacentral:rRNA from 1 species